ACUUACAGGAGAGGAUGUGAUGUCAUCAGGACCCUCUUCUGUGAAGAGCCAUUGUUCAGCCUCUGAGGUGGAAUAGCGUGAGAAAAGAUUUCAAAAGAACUUCAGUUGUGACCCAAAUCUUGGUCUCGUUUAUCCUGAUAGUGUUGUUUUUAAUGGUGCCUCUUGGAUUUUGCUGCGAUGUCUUCAGCUGAGAUUCAGACUGGCAACGUUCUUCUUGAAGUCAGAUGAAUCGCUGCAGACUGCUAUCUGACAGUCAUUUGGGCUGCUCUCAUCAUGUUCAGAUCUGCAGAUGAAGAAGUCAAGUCCUGUGUCAUGGGCAUGGAGCACAACUUGUAUAUAUUGGCAGAUAUUUAAUUUUAUGUAGUAUUGAAUUCUUUUUGCAGCUUAAAGAAGACCUGGGAAUGUUUUACAGCAUCUCUCCACCUGCGCUUAUAAUCUCUGAGCCCAUGCAUUGCUGAUACCUAUCUGAGUACUUCAGCUCUGUUGUUCUCUGUAAUUGUUCUUUGUUAUUUCUCUGCAGAAGCCGCUGUGUGCAAGGCAGGAGUUCUGUGAUGUGACACCCACCAAGACAGCCCUGUGCCCCAGUUGCAUGCAGAUCUGACAAACAAAAAGUUACCCUGUGUUUUUUUUUCUUCUCCAACCACAGGGACUUCCGCCAUGCCAAAAAACCUCUCCAUACAUGCUUCAACAUUCAGAGGCCAGCCUACCAUCUCUAGGUGACCACACACACCCUGUGUGGGAGGUGUUGUUCCAUUACUCCUUUGGAAAGCAUGCCCCUGUUCCUGGCUGUGAGAAACCUGGCACUGCUGAGUGAUGAAACUGCAGUGUUAUGUGAAAAUGAGCUGGAAAAUGAAGAAUGGAACAAGGCAGCGAGUUGGGUCAAGCAGCGUCACCACAGCAGCAAGCAUACCUAGGUUGUGAGAUGAGAUAAGGGAUCCCUUGGACUUCAGCCUGCUUUCAUAUGGCACUUGGUUCUCUAUUCCAGGCAUGCCCAACUCACAGGCCGCACGCUGCCCAGCCCGUCCUGCUGCUGCCUCCUGCCCCGCACCAUCAUGGCAGCAGCUCUGGCGGUGGCUGAGCGGCCUGGCCCUGUACGUGUAUCCAUCACUGACGCAGCCACACAGUGGCGUGCGAUUGGCACUGCAUCAGCUCAAGCAGGACAUGGGCAGGGCACAGUGCUGUGCUAUCUCCACCUCUGGCACUCACCACACACUCAGUCCCAUCAAAACCUGGGUGUGUUACCCAUGUGUGCCACUGGGUGACUGAGACGCACUAAUUACCCCUAGUAACCUUUCAGCCUUCCUAAUGUCUUCUCAAGAGAUAACAGAAGCCUCAAACGAACGAAAAUUGUGGUUGAAGGAGAAGUGUUCAGUGAAAAAUGGACAGAUGGGUACUGUUUUGUUGAGGUAAAACUGCGUUACUGCUGUUGAGUUACACCCCGGAUGGGCUUGGUGAUAAAGGCCAGUGAUGUGGUGGCAAAUCUGAUGGCAGAAGCAGCAAAGCCGUCUGCUGGUGGUGAGUUUAUUGAGCAACGCACAGACAGCAUCAGAGAUGCAAUGUGCCCUGAUUAAAACAGGGUCUUUUCUCAAAUCAGUUGGUGUCACUCAACCAUUGCCAGGUGGUCUGAAGAAAUGGACAAAUCUGUGGCAAGAAAGUUGGAGAGGAAAGCUGCUAAUUUCAGAAGUUAUCCUUUGGCGACAGAUGAAAUGACUGACGCUACAGAUAUGACUCAACUUCCUUUUUCAUGGAAGGUAUUGAUAAGAAGUAUCAUGUCACUGAAGAAAUGGCUUCCUUGGUACCCUCAAAAGGCAGAAAGAAAUCUUUUGAUGUGGAUGAAGCAGUGGAAAUGGCAUUGAAGUGAUUUUAUUUAAGCUUUGUUGAUGCUUCUGGUAGAGCUACUGAUGGCGCCCAGGCAGUGGUUGUUCAAAAGGGGGGGGCUUAUAGAAUGCAUAGAAGAGAAUGGAAUUGCUUCCAGGAACUCAGGUCUGAUGAAACAUCUGUGCAUGGUACAUCAGGGCAAUAUAAGCAGAAAAGCUUUAAAGAUGGGUACUGUCACGUCAGUUGUCAUGGAAGGUGUGAAUUUCAUGAAGCCCAGGGGACUGAACCAUCACCACUUCCAGGCAUUCCUGACACGUACGGAUGCUGAUUAUGGAGACAUUGUUUAUUUUUAUAAAGUAAGGUGUGUAAGUGAUGGUAAAACGCGAGGCAGUUUUAGGAUUUGCAAAAUGAAAUCAUUUCUGGGAUCAAAAGGAACAUUUGUAUCAGAACGCGAGGCUGAGAGCGCAUCACAGAUUUAAUGCUUCUGGUGGACAUGGCCUCUCAUUUAAGAAGAAAGGGGAGAGAGGAAAGAGGAAAGGCCCAGCAGCAGGAGACAUCUGCCUGCAUCCUGAAAUGCCUGUAGUCAGCACAGACUUUAAUUUGGCCUCUUCUGAUCAAAGCAGCACUGCUGGCAGAGCCCCUGCAUCCCCACAGCUGGGUUACCUGGAUCCAGGCCCUGUUGUGAGUUGCCCUUUGUGGUGUCCUGGCUGCUCCGUGUGAUGGCAGUGGGUGUGAUGUGUUCUGCUGUUGUUGUGAGUGGAGGGAAAAAUAGAUGAAGGCAGGGAGAUACAACAAAACAGCCUUCUUCCACUCCUGCCAGGACAUAGACAAACCUGUGGCCAGCAUAGGGGAGACUCCAUAGGGCCCAUUUUCAACUGUGAUGCCCUGACACUCUGAUAUGAGAUCAGCUUGCACAGCUGAGCUGCCCAGCCAUGAAACCUGAGGGCUGUGGGCUCAGAAUUUCUACCCAGCAUCCUCAGAAAUUCUGUGCUCAUUAGGUGGUUUCACCCCUCAGUGACACCUCUCGGAGAAAGAUGGAAAUUAUCUCCUGUCCUCACAUCCCUAAAUGCCUGCAGUCAGCACAGCCUUUAAUUCAUGCUGUUCCAGGUGGAGCAGCACUGCUGGCAGAGCC